UCCUGUACCAAGUCAGGAAUAUGGUCAUUGUUGUAUUAUAGUUCGUUUCUGUGUCUGUUACAUUUUAACGUUGUGUUUCUUUUGUGUCGUUUGUUUCCUCUUAUAUUUGAGUGUGAAUUCACAUUAUUAUAAGACGUGUCACGGUACUUUUCUAUCCCAAAUUCAUGUAUUUAGUUUUGAUGUUAUAUUUGUUAUUCUCAUCGGAUUUUG
rnacentral:lncRNA from 1 species